GUACACGCUGUGACUAGCAUAUCAAUAAGCGGAGGAAAAGAAACUAACAAGGAUUCCCCUAGUAACGGCGAGUGAAGCGGGAAGAGCUCAAAUUUGAAAUCUUAAAGGGUUUCCCUUUACGAAUUGUAGUUUAAAGAAGUGUUUUCUGUUGAGGUUUUGGUAAAAGUUCUUUGGAAUAGGACAUCAUAGAGGGUGAGAAUCCCGUAUUUGACCUUUACUUUCAACUUUGUGAUACACUUUCAAAGAGUCGGAUUGUUUGGGAAUGCAGUCCAAAAUGGGUGGUAAGUUUCAUCUAAAGCUAAAUAUUGGCGAGAGACCGAUAGCGAACAAGUACCGUGAGGGAAAGAUGAAAAGAACUUUGAAAAGAGAGUUGAACAGUACGUGAAAUUGUCAAAAGGGAAGCGUUUGACACCAGUGUUGUUUUUCUGAAAAUCAAUUAAAGAACUGUUUAUGCUAAGUUGCUUAGACUUUAUCAGCUAACUGUUUAGUUUUGAGCUUUUCUUUAAUGCACUUUUCAGUUAACAAGUCAACAUCAAUUUCUUUUGCUGUAAAAAAGCUUGAGGAAGGUGGCUUGAGAUUCGUCUUAAGUGUUUAUAGCCUCUUGCCUAUGCAGUCGGAGAGAUUGAGGUCUGCAGCGUAGAUCCUUCGGGGCUAAAUGCAUUUGUGCUAAGUUAUAGCAUUUUAUAGACAACUUGUUGACUAUGAUUUGUCUUGUAGCUUACUCGCUUAUGUUAUUUUACCUACGCUUAGGAUGUUGAGUCGUAGAGCACGCAG
rnacentral:rRNA from 1 species